AUUUCAUAAACCCAAAGGAGUACGUAGUGGUUGGAGGGCUGAAUAAAAGCAUUGAAUACACCAUACACCAUUCAAUGAUGGUUGGUGUAGCCCAAAUGGGGAUUUUACCCAAAAAUUAAAAAGGAAUCACCACAGCUCACUCACGGCCAAACAAUAACCACACAAGUUUGGUAGAACGUACGCAUUUCACUUUCUGCACACUACAAAUUCUGCCAAAUGAUACUGAAGAAAUCCAUGUUAAGGAACUUUACUCAUAUCCCAGUCGAACCGAGUAACCUAAAAAAAUAUGCAUUAAUAUAGGGGUAGAUAUAAAUAAAAAUAUAUAAAUUAUACUCACAGUCUCCUUAAAUAUUGUUCGGGUGCUUCAAAUCAAAAAAAUUCUCCAAAUAAUUCAGGUGUAAUCUGGAAUUUUUCAAUUAUGUCGGCAAACACGUCUGUAUGAAUAAAGAAGAGAAAUAAAAACAGUCUUCUUCUUAUUUCCAUUCAUCAACAUUUCAUUCAGCGUGAAUGGAUAACAUUGUAGAAACUAAGGUUGCCACCUUGCUAUAUACGCAUAAACGUAUGGGGGGACGGGUCGUACCAUAACGCAUACAUGUAUAUGUGUGCAUACAUUAAAAAAAUGACGCCACACAAAGUACCGUUGAACAAAUCUCACGGUUCCAAAAGGGUAUGCUUACCAUUGAAGUUCCAGAAAUGCCCGGCCAUGAGACUUCAGGGCUGUGGGAGUUCCCCACGUGGAAUAAUAAAACCUUCCGCACAUCGACCUUUGCAAAAUUAACUCAGCAAAGGGUCGAAGUUUUGUUGCGUCGGGUGGGCCAUCAGGGGGCGUGUAGGCUACAUGGCUUACCUGGAAAAUUCAAUGUAAAUAGUUUUUACAUUGUUUUUAAAAUAUGCCAUUUGUUUACUUACCCCAGUAGCUAUUUCUUUGAAAAGAGAAAUAGCUCAGAGACCCGAUUCAGAAAAAUAAAAUUUUAAAGUUAGAUGCUGUUGCGCAUCAGGCGAAAUGAAAAAGAAAAUGACAAGAAGGAAAUGGAUGGCGUUGCCAUUAUAAAAGAAUAGGGAUCGUUCAAUCGUUAUUUGGCUACGGAUUUAUACAACCAUGGCUGAGUAGCCAUUUCGUAGCUACCCUAUCGCCAUCAACAAGGUCCAUAAUAAAUAUUGGAAAUUUUAGGAAAAAUGGUGGCAAAAUGAAGCGACUAUAAAAAGGGGGAAAAUAGGAAAAUUGGCAACAUAGUGUUGCAAAAGAUCUAAGCAAGAAGACGGUCCAAAGUAGUUUUUAACACUAAAAAAAAGUGAAUAUUUAUAUGUGUGUUUACUUGUUAACAAAAAGUUCCCCAAAAUCACAAUAUUUUUUUUGGUCUCCACUGACUGCUGAGUGGGGAUCUGGUGUUAAAUGCCCGGUCCUUGGGUUUAAAUUGGCCGUUGAAUUUGAAGGUCUCCCUGUUUGGUGUCAUACUUCUGUUUGGUGUCCGUAUCUGAGGCAGCGGAAUUUGGGUCAAAAUUGAUCGGAUGGCCACAAGUUGGAGAUUUUUUUUUGAU